rnacentral:rRNA from 1 species
AGCGUAGGCGGUCGAUUAAGUUAGAUGUGAAACCCCCGGGCUUAACUUGGGGACUGCAUCUAAUACUGGUUGACUUAGAGUACAGGAGAGGGAAGCGGAAUUCCUAGUGUAGCGGUGAAAUGCGUAGAUAUUAGGAGGAACACCAGUGGCGAAGGCGGCUUUCUGGACUGACACUGACGCUGAGGCUCGAAAGCGUGGGGAGCAAACA